GGGGAAGGUGUAGACGGGUGAGUACGCGUGGAACAUGCCCUUCACUACGGAAUAGCUUUUGGAAACGAAAGGUAAUACCGUAUACGCCCUCCGAGGGAAAGAUUUAUCGGUGAAGGAUUGGUCCGCGUUAGAUUGGCUAGUUGGUGGGGUAACGGCCUACCAAGGCGACGAUCUAUAGCUGGUCUGAGAGGAUGAUCAGCCACACUGGGACUGAGACACGGCCCAGACUCCUACGGGAGGCAGCAGUGGGGAAUAUUGGACAAUGGGCGCAAGCCUGAUCCAGCCAUGCCGCGUGAAUGAUGAAGGCCUUAGGGUUGUAAAAUUCUUUCGCCAGGGAUGAUAAUGACAGUACCUGGUAAAGAAGCCCCGGCUAACUUCGUGCCAGCAGCCGCGGUAAUACGAAGGGGGCUAGCGUUGUUCGGAACUACUGGGCCCAAAGCGCGCGUAGGCGGACUUUUAAGUCAGAUGUGAAAUCCCGGGGCUCAACCUCGGCACUGCAUUUGAAACUGGGAGUCUAGAGUUCAGGAGAGGUUAGCGGAAUACCGAGUGUAGAGGUGAAAUUCGUAGAUAUUCGGUGGAACACCAGUGGCGAAGGCGGCUAACUGGACUGAUACUGACGCUGAGGUGCGAAAGUGUGGGGAGCAAACAGG
rnacentral:rRNA from 1 species